AUGGGUUUAGUGUAGUGGUAACACGGCAAGUUCCAACCUUGCAAUCUAGGGUUCGAUUCCUUAAACCUGUGCCA
rnacentral:tRNA from 1 species